rnacentral:rRNA from 1 species
CCUACGGGUGGCUGCAGUCGAGGAUCUUCGUCAAUGGGCGAAAGCCUGAACGAGCGACGCCGCGUGCGCGAUGAAGGCCUUCGGGUUGUAAAGCGCGAAAGUGGGAGCACUGAUCCACAGUAAGCUCGGGCUAAGUUCGUGCCAGCAGCCGCGGUAAGACGAACCGAGCGAACGUUGUUCGGAAUCACUGGGCUUAAAGGGCGCGUAGGCGGGUGACUAAGUCUGUGGUGAAAUCCGGCAGCUUAACUGUCGAAUUGCCAUGGAUACUGGUUGUCUCGAGGGAGGCAGGGGUGCGCGGAACUAAUGGUGGAGCGGUGAAAUGCGUUGAUAUCAUUAGGAACUCCGGUGGCGAAGGCGGCGCACUGUCUCUUCUGACGCUGAGGCGCGAAAGCCAGGGGAGCAAACGGGAUUAGAUACCCUUGUAGUC